AAGUUCUAGAUGAGAGCUGAGUUGCCGUGACAACCGUGACGCAUCAUCAGUCAACAAAGAGCAGCACCAAACUCUCAACUCUCUCAACUCUUCUCUUUUAUUGUAAAAGGAGGAGACCGGUAUACCCGGAGUAAACCCACGCUGACACCGGAAGAACAUGCAAACCCCACACAGAAAGGCCACCUGACUUAGCCGGAGCUCGAACCGGGAACCUUUUUGCUGCCCUGUUUGAUUCUCAUUAUAAAGAUGAGAGCUGAGUUGUCGUGACAACCGUGACGCAUCAUCAGUCAACAAAAGAGCAGCACCAAACUCUCAACUCUCUCAACUCUUCUCUUUUAUUGUAAAAGGAGGAGACCGGUAUACCCGGAGUAAACCCACGCUGACACCGGAAGAACAUGCAAACCCCACACAGAAAGGCCACCUGACUUAGCCGGAGCUCGAACCGGGAACCUUUUUGCUGCCCUGUUUGAUUCUCAUUAUAAAGAUGAGAGCUGAGUUGCCGUGACAACCGUGACGCAUCAUCAGUCAACAAAAGAGCAGCAUCAAACUCUGAACUCUCUCAACUCUUCUCUUUUAUUGUAAAAGGAGGAGACCGGUAUACCCGGAGUAAACCCACGCUGACACCGGAAGAACAUGCAAACCCCACACAGAAAGGCCACCUGACUUAGCCGGAGCUCGAACCGGGGACCUUUUUGCUGCCCUGUUUGACUCUCAUUAUAAAAGGCCGUUCCAAAUGAGCAGUUAUUUUCCGUGAAGUCCACUUCAACUGAUAUACCGUGCUCAGGGAGUAGGGAGCAGUGAACACUCCUUAGGGACCCUGUUGAAUGGAACGCACCUCCAGACUCCACUCGCUCACUCUCUCCUGCGUGUUUGUGCACCUCUCACCCUCAAACAAGGUCAGAGCAAGCGCCCUCUUUUUAAAGUUUCUGCUAAUGACAGUUAACAGCAAAAGAGCGCUCACGCUUUAAUAUUUGAUUGACAAGACAGCUGACUCGGUGGUUGCUUAGCAAUAUGAAAAGCCGCGUCACACUGCUCUUUUGGUGUGACUGGCCCUUAAGACUGAAGUUUAU